AGACACAUAUAUCAUAAAUAUAAUAAAUAUAAAUAAUAAUAAAUAAACAAAUAUAAUACAUAUAUAAAAUUGACUGGUGAAUAUAAUGACUAGAAUUGAUGGUUCAUGAAUUCUUCUAUGGAAUAGAAGACAUUUUCAAUAAGCAAACUUUUCACAAGCCUCUUAAAGGUCGCUCCACGAAGUGAUGUCAUGUGAUCGGGAAGUUUAUUAUACAUCUUAACACCAUUGAAGAUGUACGUGUUUUGAGUUCUAUUAAUGCGGUGGCUGGGAAUCACAAUUUUAUUUCUGGAUCGCGUAAGGUGGUCAUGUACAUUUGAGUGUUUUGGGAGUUCUUUCUUUCCAUGAACGUAGAGGAGACACUCGAGCAUGUAGCAGCAUGGGACGAAAGACCCUGAGUGCAUCCGACGACGCACCCCAGAGGAUAAUACCAUAGGUCAUUCGUCCAUGGAACUGAGCGUGAUAGGGAAGCACUGGUUGAAUGUAUCAGUCACUACCUUAUGGAAACCAUUACACGAUAACGGAGCCGACAUAUUUCUGAUGAAUUCCCAGUCUACAUUCUUCAAUCGCUCUCGAAAAUGGGAUUUCCGUCGUCUGUAAUUCCAAUCUUUGUGCCAGAUGAUCUGAAAGAUGGUGAUUCACCGUGAAUGCUUGAUAUGUUGAAGACCUCAUAUUCGUGAAAAAAUUGUCGAUACAGCUGCUCGAUUUCAGUGUUACACGUGAUGCCUCCUUGAAUAUAAUAUGUAAUCCAAAUGAUAUGACUAAUUCCUGCAAUUUUAAUUUCGCAUUAUUCAUUUCAUCGAAGUUUAUAUUAAAAUCGCCAGCGAUUACAACAUUUUGAUGUGGAUUUUUGAAGACUAUGUUCAAUGCUGUUUCUAGACGUUGCAUGAACAAAUCAUAAUCUCCAUGAGGAGGCCUAUAGAUACACAAAUAAUUUGUUUUUGUGGUCUUUUCUAGAACGCCACAAAUUUCUAUAUUUUUUUCGAUAGAUAGUUCAUUUAUUUCUGUAAUCGCUCUGCCGAGAAAGUCUUUUCUUGUUAGUAUCAGACUU